CUCCUCCUCCCCCACUCUCCUCUCUUACCUGAUCCCCUCCCAACCCUAGCAGCCGCCGCCGCGCUCUCGUCCUCCUCCCCUCCUCCCCUACGCCGCGUCCUCCUGCCCUCCUCCGCUACGCUCUGCAGUAGUGCGGGCCGCCGCCUCACAGUACGAGGUGGGGCUACAACCACAACCCCAGCGCCUCUUCUGCACAGCCGUGCGACUCGAGACGGCAAGAUCCAGCCGUGACGGCCGAGAUUCAUCUCGCUGGCACGCUCCUCUGCCCUUCCCGAUCCUGACCACAAUGGUAAUGCGCGCGCGGCCAUCCCUCCCAGCGUGGUGGUGGACGAAGGAGGUGCACAUCUCCGGCAAGGUCAUCGUUCCUCCCUCCGGAUCCGUUCUGGCGCAAGGUGGCCACUAGGGUGCAGCACUCUCCGUCCUAAGGCGCCAACUGCCACCACCAUGCUCCCCUGAAGCGGCGCCAGAGUUGGAUAUGGGCUACGCGGGCGUGGAUGUGGAGCGGCGCCAAAACUGGUCUAGAGCGGCGCCGGAGCGACGGAUCUGACGAGUCGGAGCAGCAGAGCGGCGCCGGAGCCUCCACAUCGUCGUUGUCCUCACGCAUCCACGCAUGGGUGAAUGCUUCUUUUGUCCUGUUCACUCGGUCAUCGGACAAACCCUAGCCUGCUUCGACUGAUUUCCUUCUAUGCUCGGUUGUUUGAUGGGUUCGUGCUCGUCGGCGGGAUGGUGCAAGGCGCAACUCCGACGCGGUUCCUCGCCGUUGGACGGUGUUCAGGCGCAACCCCGGCGCGCACUGAGUACUGCCUCGGCUACAGCCUCCCUCGGUGAGGUCCAUCUUCCUCCCGCCCCUCUGCUUCGGCUACUGUAUGGGACAUGGCCAUGGCUAUAUUGAUGUGGUGCUCGUCUGGUUGAUGCUCUAUGCCCUACUCAUGCAUUGGUUCCUAUUUGAGCUCUGUUGUUGUGGAUCCAUGCCAUUUUAGGGUUUGCAGGCUGUUGUUCAUGUUUAGUUGCUAUCAUAGGAGCUAAUGUGAUGCUCUGGUUUACAUGUGGAUGCCCUGGUCCUAUAGCUAUGCUCCUGGAUUUGCUAGAUUGAUCAGUGGCAUUCGUGCUAGGGCGAUGAUGAUUCAUCAUGGCUGAAAUAAGUGUGCCUUUGAGCAAUCGUGGCACCUGUGCGUAUCAGGUUGGAUCCUCCCUCUUGUCUCUAGAAUCCUUUUUGAUCAUGUGAUACUUGUUGUCCUUGGAUGGUCAAUCUUGUUGAGUGAUAACCAGGGCAGCUCCACUGUAUGAACAGAUUGAUCUGGUGAUAAGAGAUGACGGGGGUAUGUUAUAUGAUCGAGGAAAGGUGAAUCUGAGCCCGCUAUGCAAUGAACCCUGAAUCGAGAAUCCCAUUGUUAGAGUCUGAACCGAAAUGGAGCUUCCUCAGCUGUUUGGAUUUUUAGACGUCCGAUUGAAAGUCCGUCGUGAUACCGACCGUUCGGUCUCGAGCCCGAUCGCUGUGGGCCAUCCGAUUUUGACCUCGAUCGACCUGGGCCGUCGGAUAAAAUUCCAGUUGCAACAAAAUGUAAAUACCGUGCCCCCACCAGGGCAUCUGGGUCAUUUCGCUUAGGGGGGGUAUAAAAUGACCGUGACUUUCUGCGAUGAAAACCUAGCCGCCGCGUCCUCUCUCACUCGCUCCUGCAGCUGCCUCCCUCCCUCCCACGCAGGUGGCUCCCAUGGCGAUGGCGGCAGCGGCCACGCAAGAGGGCGGCAUAUCAGCGGCGCCGGCGAUGGUGUCCAUGGCGGCUAUGCAAUGAAUCUUGAACCAUUUUUAUUUGUAUUUAAAUGUGUUGCUUAUUUAUGCUCAAGUGGUGUUCGUGCUAGGGCGAUGAUGAUUACCUUGGCUGGAAUUAGUGUGCCUUUGAGCAAUCGAGGCACCAGUGGGCAUUAAGUUGGAUCCUCCCUCUUGUCUCUAGAAUCCUUUUUGAUCCUAUGAUACUUGUUGUCCUUGGAUGGUCAUUCUUGUUGAGUGAUAACCAGGGCAGCUCUAUUGUAUAAACAGAUCGAUCUGGUGAUAAGAGAUGGGGGUAGGCUAUAUGAUCGAGGAAAGGCAAAUCCAAGCCCACUAUGCAAUAAAACUGCAGCUACCUCCCCUCAUGUGUGUAAUAUUGAAGGCAAAAAAGAACUUUUCAUGUCUUGUUACUUUAAAAUUCCAAAAGUUUUGUUCUUCCUUUGCUGGUUACUUAACCAUGUUUUUUGUUUUGCUUUGGUUCUGGUUGAGAUACUAAAGGUUGUUUAUAUAUGAAAAGAACAGACACUUAUAGUUUUGUAUGCCUCAACUGUAGCUUAGGAUCCAGUGUUGCAGUGCUUUGCCUAUUUAAAAAACACUUUAAUCAAUAAUAGUGGUUCUUUCCUUCUGAUUUGAACUGAGAGAGGGCCAUUGAUUCUUGAUCUUAAGGUGACCCCAUUUUUCUAUGCCUAAUGCUCAUGCUGCUCUAUGUACCCCUUUUAAAAUUCUUGCUUGCAUUUUGGGUUGGUUUUCUGCUCUAUGUUCCCUUUUAGUGUUUCUUUCUGUUGUUGCUGCACUCCAUUUUUUGUAUACUACAUGAUCUUUUUGUAUCUUAUUCUGCAUGUGACAUGACUAGAUAAUAGAUCUUCGAUCAGUAUUCACAUUGAGACGAAAGGUUAUAUCUGAUAUCAUCUAGCUCAAGUAGGAACUUUCUGCUCCAAUAUUUGCUAUGCAAUACUUGCCUUUCCAUGUUUUUUUGACUAUUGUGCCCGAAAAAUUUAUGAAUGAAAUGAUUACCUCUUCCUGUUUGUAUGAGGUGGCAAGUCAUUUUGUUGCCUACUCUAUAACAUAAAUUCCUUGGGACAUGCUGAUAGGGAGAAAAUUGUGUCAUUUCUGAUUUUUUUCCCCACUUGAUCUCUGCAAAGUAGAGAUAUGGAGCUUGGAAGCAUUAUAUUGGAUUUUGAUCUCACUGAUAAUGCACCAGAUAUGCAGUUGUUUUAUUGUGAAGUGAGGUUUGUGAUGUCUUUGAUGCCAUUUUUGUUUACCUCAAUCUUGCCAAUUGUGCUUGAAUAGAGUCAAGGUUGAGUUCCAAACAUAAUGAUGCAUUGUAGAAAAUGAUAUAUAAAUUUAGAUCUGAAUAGAUUGCUGAGGCAUUCUCAGUAUCUAUCUGAUGGUACAGAUUCCAGAGUCAUCAUUAUAAACAACAAGGGUUAUGCCUUUCCAAAUUAAUUAUGUAAGUUAUCUUUGAGGCUUCUCCUGCUCACAAAAUUUAAAUAGUCUUGCCGGUAUGUAGGGUUAUAAUAUAUGUUCACACUUUUUAUUCAUUUUUAGUGCAUUAAGUUUGUGAUCUCCUUUCUUACUAUCAUAUUGUUUGCUUAAAACAAAUAUUGACAAACCUGCUCCCACUGUAUCCACUACCGUGUCGUUUAUUCUUCAUUGGAAAUCUAUGGGCAAGUGUAGAAAAAGGAGAAUCUGGUUCUUAAACUAAAAUUUGGAUAAACAUGGAAAGUGGAAGUUUUAUUGUUAAUUUUUCAUAUAGUUUCAGCCACGACAAAGUGUGGGGGUCCUGACAUUUUCCUUCCAUUUAAUUUGGCUUAUAAAGAUCUCCAAUGGACAAUGAUGAUAGUUGUUUAAUUUUAAUGCUUGCCCUGAUUAUGAUUGCUGCAUUGCAUAUGGUUGUUUUUGUAUUACUGUAAUGAUACCCAUGAGAAAGUUCAUAUGAUGCUCCUUAUGAUCAUUUUCAGAAUUUGGAGAUUUUAUUCAGUUACAAACAAUCAUGUCAUCUAAUAUUCACCAUAAUGAGAAGGCUGUAGGCACACGCGUGUCUGCCGCAAAUGAAGAACAGUUAGUGACCUUCUCAUUAUGGCCAUUGCCGAGAAAGAGGGGAAGACUGUCGAAGUUGGUAGGGUCCACUUUGCGACUGAAAAUACAAGAUUCACUAUCUUUGAUGCACCGGUUCUUUUCUUUCACAUUUUACGUCGAUGCUCCUAUGUCUUGGUUUAUUUUUCUUGCAUGCCACUGUUAUGCUUCUCUGGAUUAUCUAUGAUUUUGUGACCACACCAGCAUUCUGAGGGCCAGCCUAUGGUUUGAACUGUACAAGAUUGUAGUCUUUUUUUCUUGCCAAAUCUAUUCUGGUAAUGGUCAAUCUAUAUUAUUCGACCAUGCAUCAUAUGAGGGUUCAAAUAUAUAGAUUUUUGUUGUUACCUUAUAUUUUUAUCAGAAUAAGGAUGAACCUUGAAUUAUGUACCUUCCAAGCCCAUGUUUUUGAUCUUUACGCAGUUUGUUGUGUAAUUCUAAUGGGCACCUAUGUAGAUUUUUGUAUCCUUAUCAUAGGAAAAUUUGCUUUGUAUUAUUAUGGGAUGUGUUAUCUCUUAUCUCAAUGGCCACUCUCUUAUUUGAUGUGCCCACAUGCUUUUUUGAUGGAUGCGACCUGUUAUGUGGAUUGGACUUAGGCAGUGUGCGGCAAGCUGCACUACUUACCUGUUAAUGUACUUCUUAACAUUAGGGCAUCGUAUGUUGAAAAGGGAAAAUGACAGUGCUCUUAAAAUAUGCCUAUGCUAAUAUGGACAUACGAGUCACAUGUGCACCUGCUCAAUGAAGCCUUUAAAAGCCUUAUCAUUUUUUCUUUAUGUAGAUGACCUGAAGGCAUGUGUUAUGUCGGAUGGCAGCUGUUCCUAUGCUGAAGUUAUUUUUUCUCUUCCCUUUCUUCCAUUAUUUUCAUGUGUUUCAAUUAGAAGAAUUAUAUUUUAUUGUUAUGCCUACUGAUUAACUAGAACAAGUUGAGCCAAUAUUUAGACGUAGGAGUCAGCAUUAAUAGUUUAUGAGUAAUGCUUAUAGUUUACUGUCAACUACUUUUUACUUAUGAGCAUAUAUAGAUUGUGACCAUAAUUGUGGGCAUUAUGGGAGGCAACUCACUGGAUAAAUAUAAUGGACUCUGGGUGGUGAAUUUGGUAGCUUUCGAAAUGGGCCUUACUCUCUGGUUUUUCCUUCCACGACAACAAGGUGUAGGAGUCGGCACGACGCUGUGUAAGGUACUGAUGAUCUCUGACAUGAGAUACUUAUGUGAUUCUAACGUCGAUGUCUCCCUUCGCAAGCAUAACAAUGUGCGCCGGUCGACUGGAAGUCAAGGUUCUGGCCGAUUGAUUUAUGUCUUGAAUUUCCUUAUAUUUUCCUUUGUGCUCAUCAAUCCCGUGAGUUAUUGUACAUGCACCCCCAUUCUUAUGCUGAAGAAUAAAAAAAAUGUGAAUGAUUUUGUAAGAGUUCGGAGUACUAUGGGCUUUUCUAAAGAUUCACACCACAUCGACUUCUGGAGCAGGCAUUCACCUUAAUGCAGGGGACGUAUGGUUGGUAACAAUCUUCUCAUGUUUAAUUAGCCUUUGCCCAUUUAAAAUCCACCAGUACUUCAUGGCCUGGUUGUGUUUGACCCCUUCUUCUUGCUGAGUACUUCAUGGCCUGGUUAUGUUUUACCCCUUCGUGGUGCUGACUGGUGUGAUGUCCCAGUUAGAGCCUGGUUGUGUUUGACCCCUUCGUGGUGCUGACUGGUGUGAUGUCCCAGUUAGAGCCUGGUUGUGUUUGACCCCUUUGUGGUGCUGACUGGUGUGCCGUCCCGGUCAGAGCCAACAUGAGGAAGGAGGUGGGGAGGACUUGUGUAGAUGAUUAGGGGUCAUGGAUUUGUGUAGCUAGCUACCAUGGCUAAUCUUGUGUCUACUGCAAAUGUAUUAAUGCUGACUUUUACAAAGUCUGUGAUCUGAUUAUGUUUUUGCCAUGUUCA